CCGCGGCCGGACGCGGUGGGGGAGCGCACGCCGAGGGCCUGUUCUGCCGGGCUGGGCUCAGGGGGACCAGGCGCCCAGACGCCCUCAGCAGCUCGGGACGACAGACGGGGUGACCGCGCUGGGGGUGCCGGCGGAGCCAAAGGGCCAGCCCCGGAGUCUCGGGCGCCGCGGGGCGCACCCCCACGCCUGACCGUCGGGGUCCCCCGUCCCGGCGGGGCGCACAGGUCGUCUCCCAGUGUUGAUGAGAGGGAGUCUCGGCGGUGUUUCUCCAGUGUUAACGUGCACACGAGUCCUCUCCGGAGCUUGUGGAAAUCCUGGUUCGGGAGAUCUGGAGUGCGGCCUCUGCAUUUCUAGCAAGCACCAGGGGGUGCCAGUGACGAAAGCGGCUGGUCCGAAGGCCAUGCCGUGAGUCGCAAAGACAGAUGAGAACAAGUGCGUUGGCUCCGGAGUCGGGCAGACCUGACUCGGGGAGGAUUCAGAGUCGUGGAUCCAGGGCCUCCGUGGCUAGAGCCAAGCACUUUCAGAUUCCUGGCACCUGCCGACAUCGUGGGAAGGAAGCAGCUGAGUGACUUUCUCGUCGCCACAGAACGCAGGCUGUAAAGCCUCUGACUCUCUUCUAAGCUCUGCUGAAGUUCACACGUGUGCCUCUCUGUUCAUUCGUGAAGCCUUUCUAGGGACCCUCCAGCAGCGCACGGUGCCAGGUGAGGCCGGGGGAGUUCUGUCCUCGGGUGGGUCACAGCCUCCCUGCAGACGUGAGAU